ensembl:lncRNA
AUGGAGAUUCUCCCAAUGAUUCCUCUUCCACAUUUUCAUUCACCUCAAGUGUUUUAACAGUGUGGUUCAUCAUCAGACAGAAGAGGAGCCGAUAGUCUGACAACAUAAUCUACUGCUGUGGUGUGUGUUGGGGUCUAUUCAUUACGACGGCCAUUAAAAAGUCUUCAAUAAAAGACACAGUGCAGGACAAGUCACAACCCUAGGACAUGGGGUUCAUCACUAGGGGUCAACCCUAGACCAUGGACUUCAUCACUAGGGGUCAACCCUAGGCCAUGGGGUUCAUCACUAGGGGUCAACCCUAGGACAUGGGCUUCAUCACUAGGGGUCAACCCUAGGACAUGGGGUUCAUCACUAGGGGUCAAGCCUAGACCAUGGGGUUCAUCACUAGGGGUCAACCCUAGGACAUGGGGUUCAUCACUAGGGGUCAACCCUAGGUCAUGGGGUUCAUCACUAGUCACUAGGGGUCAACCCUAGGUCAUGGACUUCAUCACUAGGGGUCAACCCUAGGUCAUAUGGACUUCAUCACUAGUCACUAGGGGUCAACCCUAGGACAUGGGGUUCAUCACUAGGGGUCAACCCUAGGACAUGGGGUUCAUCACUAGGGGUCAACCCUAGGACAUGGGGUUCAUCACUAGGGGUCAACCCUAGGUCAUGGACUUCAUCACUAGUCACUAGGGAUCAACCUUAGGACAUGGACUUCAUCACUAGUCACUAGGGGUCAACCCUAGGACAUGGGGUUCAUCACUAGGGGUCAACCCUAGGACAUGGACUUCAUCACUAGGGGUCAACCCUAGGUCAUGGACUUCAUCACUAGGGGUCAACCCUAGGUCAUAUGGACUUCAUCACUAGUCACUAAGUGUCCUCUAAAGUUUAGUCAUUGUGAUUUUGUCCAAAGUAGAGCUUUUCUCAUGUUCUCCUGUUAUGAGGUACUGUUGAUGUGUAACUGUUGUACUGCAAUGAGAUGAUCAAUACAAGAUCAAUACAUAUUGAUACCUCAGAUGUCUCGAAUCCCAUAUUAAAGAUCAAUACAUGUUGAUACCUCAGAUGUCUCAAA